GGGUACUACUGAACUUGUAUACUAUAAAUCGAAAACCACCAAGAGUAUACAUCCUCAAUACUCAGAUUAGACCCGUGGAACUAGCGACCAGGAACUAACGAUCCUGGAGGGUGAACUUAUAGGCAGGAUGGCUGGUAAGGGGUGGACAACAGGUUUGGUUGUGUUGCACCGUUUCGCAGAACGGGAAGAAAAGGUAUGGGACGUAUGUGCGUCUUGAGGUAGUAAUUUAUAAGGGCGUGGAGGGAGUUUGUUGAAUUCUGUUACCGUCGGAGUCGGACUCUAUCUCUAUCUCCAAAAGUCCGUUCUAAUCUAAUCUCUUCGUGCGUCGUCCUAAUCAGCGCGAGCCGCAGCCCCCGCUGACGCGAAUCGCGACCUCCGCGCGACCCUCCGCUGACCCGGUCUCCCUGCCGCCUGGAGCGAUGAAACCGCACCCUCGCGCCCAAGCCCAGACUCAAAACUCAGCCAAACCCUUCGCAUCUUCCUGUGGUGGCGUCCUCCUCCAACGUUGGUCCGUGUUUGUCUCCAUGGCGCUCUCGAAUGCCUAAGCCAAGGCCGACCGCGUCGAGCUGGUGCUGCAGGUGCUCGACGAAACGCCCCGCAGGACCGAGUUCUCGUAGACCAUGCUCGUCGAUUCUCUGGCGAGGGCCGGCCGACAGCACGACGCAUUCUGCCUCUCCGCGGAGAUGCGGGCCUCCAGCGUGGCCUGCGACUCCCACGUCUGCGUAUGUCACUACGGGAAGAGCUACAUAUUCAUCGUAAAUUAUGUGGAAAGGAUGUACAAGCAAGCUGCCCUUGUGCAGACAGACUCAGACGUGUAGAGAAGACAUGGUGUUCGCUGAGGAUUGCAAGAUCCAUUGCUGCAUAGGCUGAUGUAUGCGGCACACCAUCAGGAGCAGACUGAUCCCGCACACAUAAGGUCAGGUACCCUCUAGAUUAGCAGAAAAAACUUAAACUUUUGGUCUUCUUCCUUUGAUUACGAACAAAUAUAAUAUAUUUUUUUCUGUAAAAUUUUAUAUAUUAUUGAACUUAUUAAAAUUUGUUCUAUAUCAUGUGGUCUCAGUGCACGCUUUGCGGAUUUUAUCCUGGGAAUUCUGAAUUUGGCUUGCCCUUUGCGGAUUUUCAAGUGGUGUGUGCUAUUUGUGGAUAGGUUUGGUGCUGCGAACAGAGUGUUAGAACCAAAUUAUUGUCAGGCUAAACCGAUUUAUAUCAUAGCUGCAGGUGAUUUUUUUCUUAUGAUUAUGAUCUUAAAGGGGAUUUAGUUGGACCGUGCUCUUCUGCUAUAACUGUAAAGUUAGGGUGCCAAAUAGUUGAUGCACCUGCUUCAUCAUCUAGAAAAAAGAAAUAAAGGAGAUUUCUGACGAGUUUCAUUUUUUUAUGGAACCUUCGUUGGUGGCUCGAGCAACAUAUAAAGGCGAUCAUCACUUCCGACGAGUUGAGUUUUAUUGCUUACUAUUUCCUUCCUUCCGAUUCUUAGCUGCUAGGAGCUUUCAAGUUGUUCCCUCCCAUAAUCUAGAGUAAUUACAGAUCUGUACACGUUAUAUAAGCAACUUCCCUUAUGCAAACCUGGAUGAUUAGUUAUGUAUAUAGAAUUUUGAAGAGAAAAUAUAUUUUUUCGAAUACAGACUUUGUUCUGCCCUCGAAUCCUCCAUUUAAAAUAGCAGCUUGAUGUACUAGUUCUCACGCCAUGCUGCUAUAAAAUAAUUGGAAGGCCAUAGUUUAUUUGAUUGCCAUAGCCCAAAGUUUCACUUCCAUUGCCAUGGUUGAGUGAUGAAUUUCCAUGAUGCUCCUAUGGCGUAAAACAAACUAAAAAAGGUCGUCAUUAAUCAUUAUUGGAGUUGUGGUAAAACAUAUAUCAAAUCAUUUGGUUCAUGUGAACUGAUCUAGAAACCACGUUCUGUAUCAGCAACUCAUCGCACAAGGCUGACUAGAGAGCAACUGUAAGCUUACCACAAACACUAAAAGCCUUCUUCCAACUGGUAUGACAGUUCCACUUGGCUUCUCCCUAUGUGUGUUUCAAAUCAAAAUGUGCAAGAGACACAUACCCAAUUGAAGACCCAUCCAUGGUGCCUAAAACAUUAAUAAAUGCUUAUGUAGUUCCAAACCUCACGGCAUAAUAUAGCAAGCUGAUUGCAGUUAACUUACCACUGAGAGGGCAUUUUGUGUAACGGUCGAUGGUGCCUGGCACGAUAUCACCAAUUAAGGACCCACUUUCAUCAUUUGUUUGUGGAGUCCUCAACGAUUGAUGAUUACUACCCAGCCAUGUACCAGCAGUUGACACUGGACUCGUUAAAAAAGAUCUUGUGACCUGUACAAUCAACUACAAACUUAUAAUUUCGUAAACCUGUAUUUGACUAUUUGUUAGCAUACUGCACAGCAGUGAAAGCAGAGACAUUCAGUAGUUAGAUAGGUAGAAACUUAAGAGCAUACUUCUUGACUUAUGAGGUCCACACACAAAAACGAAAAAUUGUCUAACAUUUGUUCAAACAGAUGAAGCGCAUGUCAUUAGAGUUGGUUGCCCGUACUAUAUCUGUGGACAUGUGAGCAGAUGUUAACUUGGUUUUUAUCGUCCACCUUCCCAUCAUUGGACAUGUGAGCACGGCUAUCAUGGAGUUCUUCAACCAAUGGCCCACAAUAGUGCUUGCCCUUUUGAACUCACCCGCGUUCAAAAACAUCACAUGCUCACAAAAUCAGUAAGGAAAGCAAUAAAAGACAUAACUUGUUUCUAAAACGGUGGCUUUUGUUUCUUCAGUUCACCAUCAUAUUCAACUUUGUCAUUGUAUGUUGCUAAAAAAAACUCGGUCAGGGAGGGAAAGACCGUCCUCCCGGUAUUAUAUUAAGAAAAGACCGAAACAAUGGUCUCGGUCGAGAAAAUCUUUGAACCCUGGCCCCUAUCACUAAUGGGCCUCGUCAACGGUCCACUCUGUAACGGCCCAACCGGAGAUAAGAAGAAAAAGGGGCCCAAAGGAGCACCCAAAUACAAACCUCUCACUACGGCGGCCAAAAACAAGCAUACACAAAACUAUCCAUAAAAACACCGAGACUGCAGCCCUCCACCACUAGUACUGGGAGCAACCAAAAAGGAGAGACCCUUUGCUCCAGCAGCUUGCCAUUUCUCCCUCUUCUCAUUGACAAAAUCCAAGAGCAUGGUGAGGCUUGGUGACACACCAUCAAAUACCGCUCCGUUCCUAUGCUUCCAAAUCAACCAUGCCCCAAGAAUGAGCAGAGAGUCCAAUCCUUGUCAAGCCAGACACAAUGGCUGAAAUUCUUUUCCACCACAAUAGGAAGUGAGUGUCAUCAUGAAGAGGACCCAAAGCAGCACACCCUUGAGAAAACACAAGAUACCAGCAAAUGGUUGGUCUCUGGCUCUUAAUCACAAAUGGGGCAUCUAGGAGGGUGAUUCAAGCCUCUUUUUUCCAGCCUGUCAGCAGUCCAGCAUCUAUUAUGAGCCACCAACAACAAAAAAGAACUUACAUUUGGGGGUGCCCAAGACUUUUAGAUCCUUUGAUAAUGUUCAAAGGAAACAGAUCCAAAAAGAGGCCAUUGUAUACGAACUAGCAGAAUAUUGGAUAUCAGGGGCAACUGAAAAAAUAUGUUUAUCCUUAGUAUUAGGUUGCAACACCAUACCAGAUAAAGAGUUCCAAAGGUGAAGAUAGUCAGUCAAAGCUCCCACAGUUAAUGCCCCUCUAAUAUCAGCAAUCCAACCUCUGUUUAACAAGGCUUCUUCAUUUGGCUAGCCUCUAUUAAUCAUUGUUGGACGACUGAUCGUCUAGCUCGUAGAGGUUUGGACCACCCCCAGUGUUUCUUACUUUGUGAUAAGCAGGAAGAGACGGUGCAACACUUGUUGGUGUCUUGUGUUUUUGCAAGAGAGGUCUGGUUCAGAAGUUUGGGCAGAAUGAGGUUGCAGCACUUGGCGCCCAUUCCUGAUGCUGCUGUGUUCCAGGAUUGGUGGAGAGAAUCUAAGGAAUUGGUGCCAAAGCCACAAAAGUAAGGAUUCAAUUCCUUGGUGAUUUUAGUGGCUUGGCAAAUUUGGAAACAUAGGAACACUUGUGUUUUUGAAGUUGCUUCUCCGUAUAUCAGCAAGAUUUUGCAUGAUAUUCAUGAUGAAGCUGUUUUGUGGGGUAUGGCUGGGGGUAGGGGCCUAUGAGGCCAGUAACCAUCCCUCUCCUUCCUGAGGUCUAGUGUGUUUGGAUUGGUUGUGUGUGUCUGAUGGAUUGUUUCAGUUUUCUGUGUUUUUGCCCUCCGUAAGGAAACCCUUGUAUUUGCCUAUUUGGUCUUCUUAGACCUUUUCCUUUCCUCUUAAUAUAAUGAGGCACAGUUCUCCUGCAUUUUCGAGAAAAACAAGGUUUCCUGUACAGUUGUUCUGGAAGCAAUUCUUUUUGGGAUAAUACUGAACAGCCUUGGGGCAAUAUCUGAGACUCUCUUUCCAUUAAUCCAUUUGUUAGUCCAAAAAAGGGUAUUAGAGCCAUUCCCAACCUCAGUGAUAAGAACAACAGAAAAGAAUGAUCUGGCCUUACUAGGAAAUUGUAUAGGGAGAUCAAUCCAUGGUUUGGUAGGGUUAGUUUUUUCCAACCAAAGCCAUCUCAUUAUAAGUGCCCAACAUAGCUCAGGGAAACUAGAGAUACCCACACCUCCCAUUGCCUGAGGUCUGCACACUUCCCCCAAGCAACCAGACAAUGGCCACCCUUCGCUUCCCUCCUCCCUCUUCAUAAGAAACCCUUCCCGAUCUUAUCAAAUUCAUUAAUGCCCCAUUUGGGGAAGUCAAUAGCCAUUGCAGUAUAGACAGACAUCCCAGUAAGAACAUGCUGCACCAAAACUCUUCUGCCUGCCCUGUUAAGCAAUUCAGCCUUCCAGUUGGGUAACCUAUCAGCAAUUUUGUCCACCAAGGGCCAGGAUUGAUGCUUAGAAAGUUUAUGUAAGGAUAAUGGAAGGCCCAAAUAUUUGCAAGGGAAGGAAGCAAUCUCACAAGGUAAGAUGUUUUGAACAGCCAGUAUAGUUUCCUCAGAACAUCUUAUGGGAUAAACAUUAGACUUUUGAGCAUUGUUAUGGAGUCCAGAAGCAUCCCCAAAAAGUUUUAGGAUGUCAAGGGUGGUAGAGAUAUCAUCCUGGGUGGGAUGCAUAAACAGGGCCACAUCAUCAACAUAGAUUGAUAUUCUGUGUAUUUUUUUCCUGCUGCAUAAAUGCUGUAACAAACCUUCCUCAGCUUUGAAAAAUAGAAAACUCAGAACAUCCAUAGAAAUAAUAAAUAGCAUUGGAGACAGAUGGUCUCCCUGUCUGAGGCCUCUUCUAUGUUGGAUAAUUGUGCCUGGACCGCCAUUCAAAAGCACUUGAGUGGUAGAUGAUCCAAGAAGCUCACAUAUGAUGUCUCUCCAUAUCAGACCAAAACCCAUAUGUUUCAUUACUUCAAUCAAGAAAGGGCAAGAAACAGAAUCAAAUGCUUUUGUUAUAUCUAACUUGAAGAGCAAUCUGGCCUUAUUCUGAGAAUGCAGUAAUCUGGAUUUCUAUUGGACCAGCAUGAAAUUGUCUUGAAUAAAUCUUCCUUUGAUGACAGCACUUUGGUUUGGGGAGACUAUCUCAUUCAGUUUUUUUGCCAGUCGGUUGGCAAGCACCUUGGUGACUAAUUUGGCAAAACUAUGUACCAAACUAAUGGGUCUGAAAUCGUUGACCUGAUCAGCCCCCUCCACUUUAGGGAUCAUAGUAAUAUAUGCUGAAUUGAGUCUGCUCAUAUUUGUGAAAUUGCUGUGCCAAACAGCUCCCACUGCCUUUAGCACAUCUUUUUUGAUAAUAUUCCAGCAUACUUUAUAGAACCUUCCAGUGAAACCAUCAGGCCAGGGGCCUUGUUAGAAGGCAAAUUUCUAAUAGUGUCCCAAGUUUCCUGUUCUGAAAAUGGGAGAUCCAAUUCAGAGAGAUUAUGCACAGGUAACCCAAGAGCCUCAAGGUUUAUAGUUCUUUCCCUCCCUGCAGCCAGCCCUAUAAGGUUGUAUAGAAGUAAUCUACAAGAGCUUUUUUCUCAGUAUGGCUAGUUAAAGUAUUCUCCCCAUCUCUGAGUUUGGUCACCAAGUUCUUUCUCUUUCUAUGUCUGGCAUGCAUGUGAAAAAACUUGGUGUUUGCAUCCCCAUCCUUCAACCAACUGAUU